rnacentral:tRNA from 1 species
GCACGUUUCGUAGCUUAGUGGAUAACGCGAUGGCGUGUGAAGCGAAAGGUACUGGGUUCGAGUCCCAGAGUGAGC